UUGCAGUGAUGACAAUCUUAGGACACCUUUGGAAUUAAACAUGAAAACAACCCACAAUCUGAGCAAC